rnacentral:lncRNA from 1 species
AUGCCAAGGCCGCACCCUGGGCGCACUCCUUGCUGCCCAGACGUGGUCCUACAUCCGAUGCUUGGGCUGGACCGAAGGAGCCACCUGCACCAUGGGGCGCUGCCAGAGGGGCUGUGCACUGCAAGGGACAGGGCAGCGCUCUCCGUGUACUUCCCUUCCAUGUGCUUAUCUCGGACCACCUAUGGGAACAGAUGGUGUUACCGCAAGGGCAAGGGGCUUCUGAGCCAGCACGGCUGCCGGAUGACGUGUGGCCAGUUUCCUCCGGCCCAGCAAACCAGCCACAACGCUCCCACUGGGUCUGAUUUAACGGGUUUCUUUCUGAGGGACAACGAAGACCUCCCCUGCAUGAUCAGAUGCUGCUCUCAUACCAAUCUGGAAACAACCUUCAAAUAUAAGAACCCAGCGCACUGUGCAAAUAAGGAGAAAAGGUUGUGAUUAUAAAAAGGUUUGAAAUCAUAUUUAAAUACUUGGUCUGAUUAUAUUUGAUAAUAUUUUCAGUGAAACUUUGUGCAUUAUAUAAAAAUACUGCUGGUGUCAUCUGACUCCUUUGAUGCACUGCAUUAAAAUUCCUGUGUCUGAGUAAAUAUCAUGGAGUCAACUUUGUUUCUCUUCUGUUAAUAGUUUGGAAUUAGGUCACCAUCCUUGUAAGGAAGAGCUAAGUCUGCACUGCUGAUUUUAGGGAAAUUACCUGUAUAAAAAUGUUUGGAUUUUUUCUCAUGCUCACCUACAGUGACACUGUUCCUUAUCUAUAAUCAGUAAUUUUACUAUCUGUUCUGGUACAUGUAUUCUAUACUGUCAGAUUUUUGUAGAUUCGUUUAUAGUGACCCCUGCUGCAAAAGAUUAAGACUGACAUUUCUCUAAACUUCUAAAAAGGCAUUUACCCAAUUAUUUCAGAGUUCACUUCAAAAGAACUGAGCAGUUGUAUAUUCAAAUUAAGUAUAUAAAAUUUGAGACUCCCUAAUUUGAAUUAUUUUGAAUGAAAUUAAUCAUAUGAGACUUUUUUUCUUCUCAUAAAUGCA